UAAUCAUCACUGUAUGAAGACUUCCAGGCUGGCAACGUUACAAGCAACAAGACACGGAAGAUCUUCUUUCAGACUCUGUCUGAUGGCAAACAUACAAAUCACGGGCCAAAAUGAUGAGAUCGAGGUAUGUGAGUUACAUGCAAGACACUGGAUACGUAAUCCCCACACCAAAGAAAAGUACUCAAACCUCUGUAUGUGUGUCUAACAUUGAUGAUUUUUGCUUUAAAAAAAAAAAGAUCUGACUCACCUAGGAACUUUUCCAGAUUUUGGAAGUUUCUAGAUGCAGCCCUCAGCAGGGAGACCUCCCCAGACCUGGAGAGGAUCUGCUUACGUGGCGGGUUCCACAACUGGAAGUGGCCUUUCUCUGCCGCUCCCCAGUCGUGUUGGGAGGAUUAGCGUAAUUAGAGCCUGUGCUUGUACAGCGCUUUGACAUUCUCAGAUGAAAAGUGCUAGAUGAGCGUAAAAUUUUAUAACUGUAAUGGAAUCCAAGCAAAUCGCAUUGUAAUAAAUGGGUCUUGCUGCUGAUCCUGCAUUUAAGGGUCCCCUCUUUAUUAUCUCAUGUUUACUGUAUGUGAUGAACCGAGGUGAUUAAUAACAAUGAUAAUAAUUACUCCUAGAGCAUUUUAUGCUUUCAAAGGGCUUUACAACUUGUUCAUUAUGUAAUCUUUAAUCUCCACAGUUGCCACUGUGCUAAGUCAGGAUUGUUUGUUUUUAAAUUUUCAUAGAAAUGGAGAAAUCUGAGGAACAGAGAGGGGGGCCGAAGUUUUCAAGUUCACUCAGCAGAGCAACGUGGAGCUGCUAGAUUGCAGUUUGGAAAGUAAAGAUGUAUAAUGAACUGGAAAAGAAGAUGAGGUGGGAUGGGGAGCACAGAGGUUGAGGCAACAGUGGUUUCCACACGAGGCUAGAUGGCAGAUCACCAUGCUCCGGAUAUGUGGAACGGAAGCAGGGGUGUUUGGCCCCAUGUAAACCAGAGGCAAAUGGCACAUCUGGACCAUCCCAGCAAAAAAAGGUCACGUUUCCUCCUACAUCUUCUGCUGACGUCUAAGAUACGAAAAACGAGAAUGGAUACACAGAGGUAUCAAGCAGUAAUCAAGUACCACCUACUUAUUUUUUCUUUUUUUAAAAAUAAAGGUCUAUCCAUGUUUUCUGAGCUGGGGAGACUGGAUUCCUAGUCGGCAUCUGGAAAUGGCGUAUUUCACAUAAAAAUGCACCCGUUACAACAUUUUCUUUUAAUGGCAAAGUGAGAGUUUUAUGGCUUUCCUUUACUCUUAUCACAUUGUCAUUCAGAUGGGCCAUCCAUGUAGAUUUCUUAUUACUGGCUAAGCUACAUAUCUCAUGGAGUGCAAUACAUCUGAUGUCAUAAUUAAAUGUCGUCAGGCUAAUGUAUAUGAGUGUUUUGAGCUUUAUCACUAAUUGCUGUGUUAGCAUGAAUUAGACAGUGAAGUAAUGAGAAGCCCACAUGCAUCUGCUUCAUGUGGGGCAGUUUCUGGGCUGGGCUGUGGGCUGUGAGUGUGUAGGUAGGAAUCAGUUCUCCCCUCUUCUUCCUUAUUCCUGAUGGCCUCAAAGUGCUUGCUAGUCUCUCCUGUCUGUGCCGAAGUCUCUGAAACGACGUCCGGAAUGGAAGCCAUUGUCUGUAAGAGGGAUUUCACAUUUCUGUCAACAAGCAGUUUUCUGUAGCCAGUCAGUGGGGAGAGCUUCACUCUGAAAACCAGAAUUAAUGGAAGACAGGUUUUAGGGUUUAAAGACAGCAUGUUUAUCUUCAGGAAUUGGGGUGUGCAUGUGUGUCGUGAGAGGCGCUGGGAGUUGUAUAAAGGAGAAAAUAGGAAGAUAUUUGUUUUUAACUUGAGAUCUUUUCUAAUCUUCCCACAUUCGCCAAAUCCUUCAGGACCCAUCCUGCUGAUGGUGUGUCGAUUGAACUUUUCC
rnacentral:lncRNA from 1 species